rnacentral:rRNA from 1 species
UCUAAUUUAAAAUAAAUAUCUGAGUACUAUUAGCUAUGAUCUUUAAAUUUAAAGGAUUUGGCGGUAAUUUAGUCUUGUUAGAGGAACCUGUUUUUUAAGCGAUGAUCCUCGUAGAAUCUUACCUAUUUUUGUUUUCAGUAUGUAUACCGUCAUUAUUAGAUAACUUUAAUAGAAGUUAUUGUAAUAUAUAAAUAAUAAAUAUAUAAUAUAUUAGAUCAAGGUGCAGCUUAUAAGUAGGUUAAAAUGGGUUACAAUAAAAUUUAUGUUAUAAUGAAUCAUUAGUAGAAGUACUUAUGUGAAAGUGGAUUUAAUUGUAAGUUUGGAUUUAAUAUGACAAGCUGGUAGGUGGCUCUAGAUUAUGUACAUAUCGCCCGUCGCUUUCAUUUUUAAAGUGAAAUAAGUCGUAACAUAG